UACGGAGGGUGCAAGCGUUGCUCGGAAUUAUUGGGCGUAAAGGGCAGGUAGGUGGUCUUAUUUGUCUGAUGUGAAAGCCUUGGGCUUAACCUAAGAAGUGCGUCAGAAACGGUAAGACUUAGAGUCCUAGAGAGGGUUGUGGAAUUCCCGGUGUAGCGGUGGAAUGCGUAGAGAUCGGGAAGAACAUCAGUGGCGAAGGCGGCCUGCUGGGCUGUUGCUGACGCUGAGGCGCGACAGCGUGGGGAGCAAACAGG
rnacentral:rRNA from 1 species